rnacentral:lncRNA from 1 species
ACCGCAGAGAACUCGAGCCGGAGGGCGAUCGAAAUCCUCCAAGCACUGCCGGAUCCGCAGGCAAGACUUAUGGACCAGCAGGCUCCUCAGUGCGGAGGUCAAACCCUCCCGGAGGCAACAAAGGCUCACCUUCCUUUCUUCUUCUUCUUUUAACCUUUAAAAAAAUUACAUUUAUUUAUUUACUUAAUAAUUUGGGAAGUAAGUAAUGGGGGAAGCUCCCUUGUGGAGAAGUCGGUACUUUUCUUCCACCCUGUGGAGUACUAGAUUCCAACUGUGAAGAUCUGGUUUGGUGACAUGAACAUUUAUCCACUGGACCAUCUCUCCCGGCCGGUUCUCUUAAACUCCACGAUGAAAACAGAUGUGCCUGGAGUUCCUGCCUCAUGCUCUCUCUCCCUCUGAGUGUGCUUUAGAUGGCUGGCUACCUGAUCAACUCUGCUCUUCAGACCCACAUUUCCAAAACCAUGCCACCUACUGGACUCUUUCCACAGGCUCUCCUCUCCUGUCUUUGUCUCCUCGCUUCCCAUAGCUCCCUCCACCAGACCCACACCGAACGGAGCCCUGAACUUAUGUGCUCGAAUCUGCUACUAGGAGUGGGGUCUUCACCUUUUGGUAAAGACUUUGAACUCCUAAACUCCCGUCUGUACAUCCUGAGUGCUGGAGUCUUUUUUUCAGCUCAGAUGACCGGUGCCACCUGGUCCUCAUUCUCUGUGUGUGUGGUGUAUGCAUGUGUACCUCUCGAGAUUGGGUCUUUUCUUUUCUUUUUCUUUUUUUUUUUUUUUUCCGUUUUUGAUUUUUCAAGACAGGGUUUCUCUGUAUAGCCCUGGCUAUCCUGGAACUUACUUUGUAGACCAGGCUGGCCUCAAACUCAGAAAUCCGCCUGUCUCUGCCUCCCAAGUGUUGGGAUCAAAGGUGUGCGCCAACACUGCCCAGAUACUAUUGGGUAUUUUAUUCUAUCAUUUCUACACCUUAUUUUUUGAAACAAGGUCUCACACAGAAGUCAUCAAUUUGGCUAGACUAGCUGGCCAGCCAACUCCAUGAGUCUGCCUACACACACACACACACACACACACACACACACACACACACACACACACACACCACAUGUCCCCUGCACUGGGUAACAAUGUAAGCUGUGGCACCUAGCUUUUCCCUUAGCUACUGCAGACCCAAGCUCAGCUCCUCAUGUUUGAGUGGCAAGCACUUUGCCCACUGCCCCACUGCCCAUUCGUCUCAUGGUCAGCAAGCUCUGUGACUCCAACUCUGUAAAAGUCUGUCCAUUUGAGGACUCUGGAGAACUUGCCCAAGUCUCAGAAAGCACAGAGCCACAGAAGAGGAGAGACAUCUAGAUUCUCAUUUUUAUGUAAGUCUCCUUACAUAGCCUAGGCUGGCCUGAAUCUAGAGUUUCAGACAGCUGCCACAUGGAAGCUGGGAACCAAACCUAGAUCCUCUAUUGGGAUAGCAAGUGUUCCUAACCAUUCAGUUGUCUCUCCAGUCUACCAUAUACAAAUGAAAGAGACAGAGACAGAGACAGAGACAGAGACAGAGUCAGAGACAGAGACAGAGACAGAGACAGGCAGAGGGAGGGGGUUGGUGAGAGGGAGAGAGAAACUAGUUGCAAAAGCAACGGUUUGAGAAAAGUCACUCAGUAUCCCAGAUGGAAUCAUUUGCCCAUUCUGUGGACUGUGUUUAUGUUUUGUGUGUGUCCGAUCUGAUGACAGUCCUGGUUGUGUCCUGAUCCUCACUGGUACAGAAUGUUCCGUGUGUGCCUUGUGCAGUGGUUUGUGAGGCCUCCUGUGAAUGUCAGUUCAGCUCCUGGCAGCACCAACAUCUAACUGGCAUUGGUAGGCCAGCUUCUAGGUCUUGGGGUCGGCUUCUCCUUUUCACAGAAGAAAAGUGGAACGGGGUGGGGUGGGAGGUGUCUCAGGAGUCAGGCUCCUUGGCUGUCUCCUCUAUCCCUAGAAGACCUCGGAAAAUAGAGACCUCAGGCUCUCUAGGCCCAGGACCUGGCAGCCCAGACUCCCGGAUGGAGUUUUGUCUGUCAGUGCCUAUGAAUGGGUACUCACAGGCUUUGGGAAGAAGGACAACAGAGAGCACAGUGGCAGGUGGAGUCAGAACACUUUCCUCCCCCUGAGACAAGGUUUCUCUGUGUAGCCUUGGCUGUCCUGAAACUUACUUUGUAGACCAGGCUGGCCCCAAACUCACAAAGAUCUACCUGCCUCUACCUCGGAGUGUUGAGAUUAAAGGUAUGUACCACCCCUGCCCAGCAACAGAAUAUUCUUUUAUAUUAUUAAACUUUUUAUUUGUCUU